GCAUAUUUUAAGCAGGUUAUAUUAUGUUUAAAUCAUCAACCAAAAAGAUGCAAAAGUUUUAUAUAAAAGAACCAUCUGUGAUAAGUAAUGCAAAUUUGGGCUGGGGUUGUGGCUCAGAGGGAGAGUGCUUGCCUUGCAUGCAUGAGGCACUGGGUUCGAUCCUCAGCACCACAUAAAAAUAAAGCAAAGAUAUUGUGUCCACCUAUAACUAAAAAAAAUUUUAAAAAAUAAGUAAUGCAAAUUAUCUCUUUGCAUUUAGAUCAUUUUAGGCUUUAUAUUGGAAGAUGUAGUCCAUUCUGCUUAAAGUAAUGACUUUUAUGGAACUCAAACCAGAAGUCCAUGGGUUGUUUAUGGAGAAGGCCUUUCUUGUGAUUAGGACCCUUUCUGCUUUUCAGGCAUCUGGAUUCUCUUUCCUUACCUAGAUCUAGGGUUGAGUGUGUCUGUGCUUGGCUCUCAGGAUGCUCUAGAGAGAUUGAGACCAGCCAGUUCUCUGUGCCCCCAGCCCUUUAUGUUAAAGCCAGUGGCUGCAUUAACCUAGUGACAAGAUUCUGUGGUUUGAAAACUGAGCCUAUGCAGUUCCUUGUUAAAGAGAGGAUUCUAGAUUGGGUCCUCACAAUUUAUAGGCUACUGAAUGCCAUAGAAAUAGGAUAGGGAUCUGGGAAACCUGGUUUUAAUCAGGCCUGCUGCAGACUUUUUGACCUAUACAACAAGAGUUGUAUGAGAAUAAAGUAAAUUAAUGGCCAUUCAGUUAUAUUAAAAACGACAUCAGAUCUGGAACAAAACUCUAAUAUGGUCAUAAUUUCUGAUAUUGGAUUUAUUACUUCCAUUUCUAGAACUUUAUCCUAAAAAAAAGUUAGAUACAUUAGAAGACUACCUCCUAUACACAUCUACACUCUUCACUUCUGUCCUGACUGAAUAAUGCAAAAUUGGUAGCAGUCAAAAUAAGUUACCCUAAGAGACUGGUUGAAUAUUCAUAGGAUGACCUAUUAUACAGCUGUUAAAAAUCAUAUUUUUGAAAGAAGAUUUGUGAUACAGGAAAAUUUAUCAGUUAUAAGAAGUGCUCAAUAAACUCUUAUUGAGUAUAAUCCCAGUAAGUUUUUCUUUUUUUUUUUUCUUCUUUCUUUCUUUCUUUCUUUUUGUACUGGGC
rnacentral:lncRNA from 1 species